rnacentral:rRNA from 1 species
UACGAAGGGGACUAGCGUUGUUCGGAAUCACUGGGCGUAAAGCGCACGUAGGCGGAUAUGUCAGUCAGGGGUGAAAUCCCGGGGCUCAACCUCGGAACUGCCCUUGAUACAGCAUAUCUUGAGUCCGAUAGAGGUGGGUGGAAUUCCUAGUGUAGAGGUGAAAUUCGUAGAUAUUAGGAAGAACACCGGUGGCGAAGGCGGCCCACUGGAUCGGUACUGACGCUGAGGUGCGAAAGCCAGGGGAGCAAACGGG